rnacentral:rRNA from 1 species
UACGUAGGGGGCAAGCGUUGUCCGGAUUUAUUGGGCGUAAAGAGCGUGUAGGCGGCCAUACAGGUCAGCUGUGAAAACUCGGGGCUCAACCCCGAGACGUCGGUUGAAACCGUAUGGCUAGAGUCCGGAAGAGGAGAGUGGAAUUCCCGGUGUAGCGGUGAAAUGCGCAGAUAUCGGGAAGAACACCUAUGGCGAAGGCAGCUCUCUGGGACGGUACUGACGCUGAGACGCGAAAGCGUGGGGAGCGAACAGG